rnacentral:rRNA from 1 species
CCUACGGGAGGCUGCAGUGAGGAAUAUUGGUCAAUGGACGCUAGCCUGAACCAGCCAAGUAGCGUGAAGGAUGACUGCCCUAUGGGUUGUAAACUUCUUUUAUAUGGGAAUAAAGUGCACUAUGUAUACUUCUUUGCAUGUACCUUAUUAAUAAGGAUCGGCUAACUCCGUGCCAGCAGCCGCGGUAAUACGGAGGAUCCGAGCGUUAUCCGGAUGUAUUGGGUUUAAAGGGAGCGUAGGCGGGUUGUUAAGUCAGUUGUGAAAGUUUGCGGCUCAACCGUAAAAUUGCAGUUGAUACUGGCAUCCUUGAGUACAGUAGAGGUAGGCGGAAUUCGUGGUGUAGCGGUGAAAUGCUUAGAUAUCACGAAGAACUCCGAUUGCGAAGGCAGAUUGCUGGACUGUAACUGACGCUGAUGCUCGAAAGUGUGGGUAUCAAACAGGAUUAGAUACCCUGGUAGUC